rnacentral:rRNA from 1 species
GUCACAUAUUCUUCGGGAAUAUGUGGUGUCGAAAUGAAGAUGAUAAGCUCACCGCCUGGGAAGUAUGCUCGCAAGGCUGAGACUUAAAGGAAUUGCCGGGGGAGCACCACAAGAGGUGCGGCGUGCGGUUUAAUCUAAUUCAACACAGAGCAUCUCACCAGCAGCGACGGCAGGAUGAAGGUCAGCCUGAAGGGUUUACCUGACGAGCCGAGAGGUAGUGCAUGGCCGUCGUCAGCUCGUACCGUAAGGUGUCUUGUUAAGUCAAGCAACGAGCGAGACCUGUACCUACAAUUGCUAACAACUCUUUUAAGAGAUUUGAGCACAUUGUAGGAACUGCUCUGGAAACAGAGAGGAAGGUGCAGGCAACGAUAGGUCUGUAUGCUCCGAAUCUGCUGGGCUACACGCGCGCAACAAUGGUAAGGACAAUGUGAUGCAACUCUGAAAAGAGAAGCUAAUCCUCGAAACCUUAUCUUAGUCUAGAUUGAGGAUUGUAACUCAUCCUCAUGACAUUGGAAUCUCUAGUAAUCAGAUGUCAACAUCGUCUGGUGAAUAUGUCCUGCUCCUUGCACUCACCGCCCGU